GUGUUUCAAUUUUCGUUUAGACUCGGACGACGGUUACGCAGAGUUAUGUGGUCCUCCGGGGGCCGCCGCGGACGGCGGGUCCCCCGAGGCAACGCGGUCGGAGACGACAGAAGGGUUGGGAGGUCGGGCGGGUGGCCCUCACUCAGUAAUGAUCCCUCCGCAGGUUCACCUACGGAGA
rnacentral:misc_RNA from 1 species